rnacentral:rRNA from 1 species
GAUGAACGCUGGCGGCGUGCUUAAUACAUGCAAGUCGAACGGACAGAUGGGGGUCUUGCUGGUGUCGCGUGGGGCGCGGGCGUGUGAUACACACGAGUAUCCCCUCCCUAUCAGGAUGAGAUAACUACGGGAAAGCGGAUAUAAUACCCGAUAAGAUCUUGAACCCGGGGGUUCGUUGGUGAAAGCCGGUUUUGCUGUCACGUAUCGAUGCUUCCUCGCCGGUUUAGCUAGUUGGUACGGUAACGGCUUACUAAGGCGACGAUGCGUAGCCGACCUGAGAGGGGGAUCGGCCACACUGGAACUGAGACACGGUCCAGACUCCUACGGGAGGCAGCAGUAGGGAAUCUUCCGCAAUGGGCGAAAGCCUGACGCAGCAACGCCGCGUGAGGGACGAAGGCCUUCGGAUCGUAAAACUCUGUUAUUAGGGAAGAACAGAUUUGGAAUGAAACAUGGAGGUCGUGACGGUACCGAAUGAAAAAGCACCGGCUAACUACGUG